UCCGAUGUGGUGUAACGGCUAACAUCGCCGUCUUUCAUUGGGAUAUCACGGCAGCUCGGGGUUCGAUUCCCCGCAUCGGAG